AGUAAAGAUGUAAUCGGUGU
rnacentral:piRNA from 1 species